rnacentral:rRNA from 1 species
UACGUAGGUGGCGAGCGUUGUCCGGAAUUACUGGGUGUAAAGGGCGUGUAGGCGGGGAUGUAAGUCAGAUGUGAAAUACCGGGGCUCAACUCCGGGGCUGCAUCUGAAACUAUGUCUCUUGAGUGCCGGAGAGGAAAGCGGAAUUCCCAGUGUAGCGGUGAAAUGCGUAGAUAUUGGGAGGAACACCAGUGGCGAAGGCGGCUUUCUGGACGGUAACUGACGCUGAGGCGCGAAAGCGUGGGGAGCAAACAGG